rnacentral:lncRNA from 1 species
UCUAAGUGAUUUUCUUGAGUGAGUGAGAGAGAAAGCCUCGAAUUUGAAGCCUUAAUCAACAUGCUCAGGUAAAAACCUUAACUCCUUUAAUUCCAAUUUAAUUGUUCUGCUUAUGUUUAACGCAAUUUUUUUUUGGGUCAGUUUAGGGCAUCUCUAAUGGUUCAUCAAAUCUAUCAUCAAAUUCAAAUUUGAUGAAAAAGUCAAAAAAACUCCAUCUAAUGGACCAUCAAAACUUUUUCAAAUUUGAUAUUUUAGCAAAAAUCAUCAAAAGUUCAUCAAAUUUGAUGAAAUUUUGAUGAAAAGCUUAAGGUUUGAUACUGGGUGAGGCGGGCAAGAGAAGACCGCUUCACUUAAAGCGGCUAAUGAAGUGCCGCUUAAAGUGGCACUUCAAAGCCCGCUUUAACUAAGUGGCACUUGGACAGCCCCAUUAACUAAGUGAAGCGGGUGUUGGGGGCCCGCUUUAGUGAAGCGGUCAUCCAUUAGCCGCUUUAACUAAGUGAAGUGGGUGUUGGGGGCCCGCUUUAGUGAAGCGGUCAUCCAUUAGCCGCUUUAGUUGAUGAACCAUUAGAUGGAGCACAUUUUCAAAGCAAAAUUUUCAUCAAACUAUCAUCAAAUGUGUAUACGUGGACCAUCAAAUUUGCCCAACCAUUAGAGAUGCCCUUAUGUAUUUUAUUUCCCUAAAAAAAAGAUUUGUUUUUAAAUUGAUGCACAAUGUAGCUAUUAUCUGAUUAUGGAUGAAAUCUCUUGGACACUAAUGAUAACUUUAUAAUAGCAUGAAGUGUAAAAGUUCAUAAUUUUUGUGUGUUUGUGUUCUUUGAUCUGUUUACACAAAUUGAUUGGUCUAGUUACUGAGGAUGUGCUACAAUUAAACUAUAUUAGAUUCAGUUUAGAUUUUCAUUUGGUCGGUAAAUAAAAAAUUAAUUUGGUUGGAAACUUGGAAUUGAUGUGUGAUUGAAAGUGGAAUGGAAAUAUGCCUAAUUCUACAGUGAAAGAAGUGUGGGUGCAUCCCCAGUUCAGGAAUCAGGAGUGAGUUUUUUUUUCCUUUCUUCGCCGAAUUUUGAACUGUUUAAUUGUAUAGAAAUAUGUUUGAAGGUGUCAUAUUCGCCGAGGGUUGUAUUGAUCUUAUUAUGCUAAAGCAUGAUAUUUCCAGUUUAGAUAUUUUAUUCUGUAGUGAUGGUUUACAGAAAGGAAAUGAUCGGAUUACCAAAUACCAAUAUAUAUAUUUUCUUUUGUUUGUGUAGAAUGGUAACUAUUGAAGAACACAAGCGAGUAGCUGUUGCCAUGCUGCUCAUGAUCAAGCAGGCUACAGUGAUGUAUUAUUAACUGGCGCAAAAGAUUUAGAUCACGGACUAGAGGGUGUAAAAGAAGACGUAUAUGUGAGGAUGGGAUGGAAACAGCUGCAAUGGAACUGACCAAUGCUGCAACUGUACUAGCUGCUUCUCUAUGGCCACAAGAUGAUGCUGGCAUUUGGCAAUCUUUAAAAAUGAUUCCAGACAUGAGCGUGAAGGAUAAAAUAGAUGGCAUGGAUCUACUUGUGAAAAAUCGAGACUUAGCCAACAUAUUCACCGGUAUGAAAGAUGAAGAUAAGAAACCUUGGUUAUUGGGCAAACUUGGUCGAGACUGAGGAGUCAUAGAAGGUGUUGUUCCUGGGUCCAUUGCUUGACAUUUUCAAUUAUGGUAUCUUUUGUUGGUGACUAUAUCAUGUUCUGACGUUCUGUUAACAUUUUGAUAACUUUGGGUGACUAUGUAAUUACUCGUGGUUUGUUGCAAACUUGUUUGGAUUGUUCCUAACAUUUGUACUACUUUUGUAAGUUUGUAUUAUGUUGGAUCAUUUUAACUAGUAUGACUUUGGUUGACGAUGGUCGGAACUUGCUCACUUUCAAUUUUUUUAAUGGCUGACUGGUCCAUUGUUGUUGCCAGCGACAUUAGGAAGCUGAGCUAACUGACAUUUGUAUUGUAUGCAUAUGCUUCAUAUUUUUUUAUGCUUUUUUUUUUUUUUUAUGAAAGAUAAAAUUGUACUCCACAUGACCAGAUUUGGUCCUUGGAAGCAUGCUAUGUUCAUGUUCAUGUUAGUUUUGUUCGAGGCCUAGUACA